UUUCGAACGAUAUAGCAUACGAACACACUGUAGAUAAAAAAACCACUGAAAACUAACAGUGCAUAAUGACAAUCGUUUGUAUAGCUCGUAAAACUUAAUCUGGCAUUCGUGAACUCCAUUUGCAUUUUGCUUUUCACGCAAUAACUGAUCCCUAUAUUUAAAAAUCUGUUUAUUCUUGCACGUUUUGCACGAGUUUCACGUUACAAUAACAGUACGCUUAGCGAGAAAACGCAUCAAUUGAUAACAAUUGCUUCUAGUUCGCAAAUUUAUUUGAUCUACUUAACGGUAAUAUAUUUAUACAAUUAGAUCAGUACCAGAUUUAUAUUAGCGAGCAAUAGGCCACAGUAUUAGUUUUAGUUUGCAGGUAGAAUGGAUGUACACAUGAUUGGGGGGUUAAAUAUCCUGCCAGGUCGAUGAUUACAUAAGUGCGUAUGAAAUAAUGAAUUAAAGAUAUGUUGGCAGGUAGGUAUGGAUGUACUCCGGGGGGUGGGGGUGGGGAGCCGGAAGGUGGGUGCGUAAGUACAUUGACAGAUAGGAACAUAAAAUUACACAGUAAUUUAGGUGCUUGCGCAAAUAACAUAGGCACAUCCGGAGACGUACAAGAAAGUUAGCAUUCUACACUAAAUGAUAAUGAUCGUUAAAAUAAAAAGUUGAGCCAAAUAACUCCGAUUUGCGUAUUUUAAAUUUAGUUAUGAAUACAUGUAGUGGGAAAUAUUUCAUAUAUGUCUCCGUUAACACAACAACAUGAAAGAUUAAAAUGUAGUUAAUAAUUAACAGAUAUGUAUUUUUAUCUAUGAGUUCAUGCAAACCUGGUAUGACUUGAAACCACAUACAAAGUUGUCACACGUUACACAUCGGUAUUAUGAAUUCUUGACUGGCGAUCGGAGGUUUGCACCAGAGAAGGCUUUCUUUGCAUAUGUGGUGGAUUCUUUCUUUGGCCAUGGUUUGCUCAGCCAGUUUUGAUAUUGGGCAAAAAGCACUUUUUCACUGCGUUCACUGCCCCUUUAUUUCACAAAUAGUUUGCCUUCAUGCGACCAAGCCCUUUCAACACGGCCCGGGUCUUUGAGACGUAGGGACGCAAGCAUCUCUGCGUUUGCUUUUGUUAGGUCGUCAUUGACGUAAAUGUUUGUGCCCUUCAAUCGAUUUGCUCGUUGCAUGACAUCAAUUUUGGUUUGGACAUAUUAACUUGACGUGUUCGUCUUUCACUUUUCAUAUGCGCUUUGUAGAUUGUGAAGUCUUCAAGUCAAGGUUUUUGCCGUAAGGGUAUGUAGUUUUAAUGUUUACGUGUGAGUUAAUCGAUUCAUCUGAUUUGAGUAUUUCUUCCAUGGUGUAGGUAUAGCUAAUUUAAUGAUGUUCGUUUCUGCUAACCAGUUUCGUUUUGAUUUUAGUUUUUGUAAUAUAACAGUUUCUGAGAUAUUUCCAUUGUUUGUUAUAAUGUCGUUUAUGUAUAAUAUCCCGGAUUCGAUCCAGUUAACGAAUAGUAACGUUCGUCACAUUACAAUAUUGAUAUAUUAAAAAAUAUUAAGGAGAUUCGAAAAUAAUAUUGUUAGGUGAAUAAUGGUCACUGUAUACAUGUAGAUACAUGUUGUAAUUGUAUUUCAUUUUAAGAGCAUAAAGCCUGGCGCUUCCUUUAUUUAGGUUAAGAAUGUCAAGGGAUAAAUUGUUUCAUAUCCCGUAUUUCUAUAGGAAAGGUUCUGGACCGUAAAACGAGUUUUUACUUGAUUGAGCAUCUCACAAUAAGUUAUUUCUAAAGCGUUUCAAAUAUGUGAACUCCCACCGUGUUUAUAACUGUAACAAUUGACGUCUGUUAUUAGCAAAUAUCAUAAUGUUUCAGGGGCGUACCUCUGAAGCACAAGGGCGAAUGCAGACCAUAUAGAAGCUACAGAGGGAAACGUCAAUGUACUGCCGACGAUGACGUUACCAUGAUCUGUCCAGUGCAAUGUCAAGGUGACGAUACUUGCCCCGGCAGCCAGAAGUGCUGUCAAUACGGAUGUAUGAUUACGUGCCUCGAUCCAGUUUCCUACGACGGACCCACGACGCGUUUGCCAGGUCCCUGCAUCGUCAGGCUUGCCGAAUGGGAAGCCGCAAACAGGUGUCUGGGAUUUGAGCGACCUCUUUAUGCCGCGAAUGGUGAUUCCAUGGGGACGCAGUACCAAGGCUCCCAAGCUAUUAGGGGGUUAAUGUCGAAAUCGGCUGAAGAUGUAUAUCGAAGCAGACUAUAAACCGCAACUUUUACUUUUAACAGAGCUAUCUGUGUUACUCCUGACGGCACUGAGAUUUCUUGUUUCGCGGUCAACAGGUAGGAGGCCGUCGACAUGGACUACCAGUGCGCAGGUGACCAGUAUGCCUUCAAGCAAACGAUAAACGUUGAUCAGCGAUUCUAUUGUGACCGCUUCGGAAACUACAAGCCCAUCGGAUGCAGGGGUGCGAUGUGCUAUUGUCAUGAUCGCAGAGGAAACCAGAUUGGAGACAGCGUCAAUAUCGUAGAUGCGGACAGUCUUUACUGCUAGAGAGUCCGGAGUUCUCGGUAUGUUGUGGUGGAAUCUCCUGUCGAUUGGAUUUUAGUUCGUGAACGCGGUUAGCUGCGAUUUCGACAGUAAAACGAGUGCAUGAAUAAAUAAAACACACAAUUAAAAACAAUGUUGUUUUGGGUUUUUGUCACAAACACCAUUAAUGACCGACAUAAGGGUUUAAUAUGUGUUGUGAAUGUGUUACUAUAUAUAAAACAUGAAAUCAAGUUUGCAUUAUUUUGAGGAGCAAAAUGUUCUGAAAAUAGUUCUGAACAAUUUCGGGAAAUUGAAUGAUAAAAUGCACGUGUUUAAACGCGCUCUAUCUACUCGUUACAAAAUUCUCGUUUCAGUACAACGCCAUUCAAAAAGAACAAAAUAUAUUGUGAUAAUAUCUACAAUUAUAUUAAAGGGACUUGUUCACAGAUUUUCAAAACGAUACUUUUCCAACUUUUUCUCACAGGUUAAAAAAAGUAUAAUUAUGAACAAUAUACAUACUACUAAAGACGGAAUCUCUUUAACACAACGCAUAUAAAUCCGCACCGGAUAAUUUAAAGAUUAACGGGCUGCAUAAUUCUGUUUUGCUUUGUUGUAAGCCGACGGAUGAGCGGGAAACUAUUGUAUCUUAUAUAGAAAUGUUAACCGGUAAAUCACGAUCGAGGGUAAAAAUCAAUAAAAUGUGCGCAUGUCCCUCGAUAUGUGUACAUUAUUUACAGGUUAAACCCUUAGAUACUGUGUUCUCGUAUUUAACUUAUAUUCGCGCUGUUCAUUCUUACCACAUAUUUAUUGAAUUUCAUUUUUGAAGCUCGCUGUUUUACACUUUUCUUAAAUACAAAGAAAAUGUCUGUACAAAUUUCGUAAAGUAUGCGUACAUUCAAAUAAGGUAUUUAUUUAACAACGUCAACGGCUCUGACAUGAUAUUCGCACUUCUCUUAAACGCAAUACAGUCCUUAUAGUGGGGUCAUAUGGUGAAAUGAUUGUUCAUUUUUUGAUAAAAGCAACAAACUUGGCACAUUUGUAGAUUUAAGUAUUUUAUUCAAUUUUAGCUAUGGACCCAUCUCCAAUUUUCAAGAUGGCCGCCAUUUUCAAGAUGGCCGCCGAGAUGGCCGCCAAACUUUAGGAAAUUACAUGUUACUGCCAUAUUUGAUUAAAAUAUUCUGUUUUUGGCAUUAAAAUUAGCUGUUUUAUGUUAUUAAUUAAUGAAAAUAUGUUUUUACAUGAAAAAAAAUGAAUUAAAUAUUGCAUAUAAGUCAAAAUGGCUACCAAAAUGGCCGCUUAAAGUACAAAAAAAUAGGAUUUUCCACCUCAAAUCUAUAAUUGCAUAACUCAUUGAAUGAAUGUUAUGUAAGGAAGUGUUUUUCUUUUUUUUUGUAUUUACAGAUACCUUAAUUUGUAUA